AGAAGAAGAAGAAGACGUCCCCCAGUCACGUGACAGCUGUUGUAGGUCACGUCAGCUUGUUUUGGCUGUGUCGCGAUCUAAGAUUGUAGACUCUUUCAAUGGUUAGAGAAACAACAGGAAAGGCUGAACAGACUAUGGCUACAGAAAGAGAGACAUGAGGGGCGGCUUAAAGAUGUGAAUGAACGUCGGCCCAAACUGUCUGCUCUGAAUUCAGCUCCCUCUGUAAAAAAGUGGUUUCCCAGCAUCAAGAGUGAGAUAAGAGUAUUACCUGCAGCAAUCCCAGCUUCCUCAUUACCCAGAGAGGAAGAUAGCUGAGUUCCAGCUGCGCAUUGAGGCUUUGGAAAGCUAAGAGUUCUACAGGUGGUUGGACAAUGAAACUGAAACACCUGUCAUUUUAGUGUGGGAGGUUUCAUGGCUAAGUUGGACCAGCCUGGUAGCCAGUCUUCAUUGAUUGCACAUUGCACCAGUAAGAGCAGAGUGUGAAGGUU